AACGUAUGCAUCAAACUGUAUGCGUAGAUGGCUUGGCAGAAAUGGUAGCAGAAUGAAUGUUGAACUUUUGUUGCAGACAUAACCAGAUGAUGCUGCGUACCAUUUCGGAAUUUUGCAACUGUAGUUGCGACCCACUGGGCAAAAACUGGUUGAAUCAAUGUUGUUUCCGUGUAAUUUCAACCCCAAAAAUCUAUUUGAUGACGUUGAAUCAACAUGGAAAACUACUUGGAUUUGCAAAAACUCCCCAAGCAGCCCAUCCACCACAUGACAGGAAGUGACUGUUUUCUGUUGGGAAAGCUGGAAUGUAAGAAAGAAAAAGAAAACUCCAACUUGAACAGCACAUACCAGGACAACUGGUAGAAAAAGGCUAUAUCCAGUUACAACAGGGAUGCUGCUGAACAGUGAUCUUCAAGGAGAGACAAUUACUAUAUUAAGGUAA
ensembl:lncRNA